AAACGUCUCAGUUCGGAUUGUAGUCUGCAACUCGACUACAUGAAGCUGGAAUCGCUAGUAAUCGCGGAUCAGAAUGCCGCGGUGAAUACGUUCCCGGGUCUUGUACACACCGCCCGUCACACCAUGGGAGUCGGAAACGCCCGAAGUCUGUGACCGAACCGAAAGGAAGGAGCAGCCGAAGGCAGGUCGGAUGACUGGGGUGAAGUCGUAACAAGGUACC
rnacentral:rRNA from 1 species